UACGGGGGGGGCAAGCGUUGUUCGGAAUUACUGGGCGUAAAGGGCGCGUAGGCGGCCUGCUAAGUCGGACGUGAAAUCCCUCGGCUUAACCGGGGAACUGCGUCUGAUACUGGAUGGCUUGAGUUUGGGAGAGGGAUGCGGAAUUCCAGGUGUAGCGGUGAAAUGCGUAGAUAUCUGGAGGAACACCGGUGGCGAAGGCGGCAUCCUGGACCAACACUGACGCUGAGUGAGCGAAAGCCAGGGGAGCAAACGGG
rnacentral:rRNA from 1 species